rnacentral:rRNA from 1 species
UACGGAGGGGGCUAGCGUUGUUCGGAAUUACUGGGCGUAAAGCGCGCGUAGGCGGACCUGCAAGUCGGGGGUGAAAGCCCGAGGCUCAACCUCGGAACUGCCUUCGAUACUGCGGGUCUCGAGUCCGGGAGAGGUGAGUGGAAUUCCUAGUGUAGUGGUGAAAUACGUAGAGAUUGGGAAGAACACCAGUGGCGAAGGCGGCUAUCUGGACGGUUACUGACACUAAGACUCGAAAGCGUGGGGAGCAAACAGG